rnacentral:sRNA from 1 species
UAAUUGUACAUUUCGAGUGGUGCAGUAUUCUAGUCGGUCUACCGUUCUGGAGGGUGAGGCUAAAAAUUCACUAGAGGGCACAUCGAUGAAGUUCGUUGGAUUGGCUCGGAGCGCCCAGCUUUGGGUCGGUCCAGGGAGUAAGGAAUUAGGGCGAUCCACAAUGGCAUGUGGGCGAUGACCCUGAUUCCGCGGAGGCUUUAUUCUCCUUUUGCAAGGGGGAUAUUGAAAAACCUGCAUAUCAGGAAACUGCGUGCAGCGUAGCCUGCCUUGAGUGAAGUAUGAGGGGAUUGCGUACUAGGCAUAUACAUCAGUUGGCCAUUGAUAUAUUUGCUGGUCUGUCAUGCAUGAAAUCUGCUUUGCAAAAGAGGCUAAGGAAUUGGUUAAAGGCCGCCGGGGAAAUCCCCUAGACUGUUCGUUCAAUGACAUAUAUAGAGGAUUAAGGUGCGGACUAAGUGGCAAUCCAGUCCAGCUUUCGGAGACGGGGCUGAGUUGGCUUUAAAGGGAAACCGCCGAGAUGGCGACAUUCGGCAGCUGAUUGGGAAAUCCUACUGGACCUAAGCCGUAAAAUUAACUCUAUUUAUGGCCACUCGUUUCUAUACGAAA